CCUACGGGUGGCAGCAGUGGGGAAUAUUGGACAAUGGGCGAAAGCCUGAUCCAGCCAUGCCGCGUGUGUGAAGAAGGCCUUCGGGUUGUAAAGCACUUUCAGUGGGGAAGAAAGCCUUGGGGCUAAUACCCUCGAGGAAGGACAUCACCCACAGAAGAAGCACCGGCUAACUCCGUGCCAGCAGCCGCGGUAAUACGGAGGGUGCGAGCGUUAAUCGGAAUUACUGGGCGUAAAGCGCGCGUAGGCGGUCUGAUAAGCCGGUUGUGAAAGCCCCGGGCUCAACCUGGGAACGGCAUCCGGAACUGUCAGGCUAGAGUGCCGGAGAGGAAGGUAGAAUUCCCGGUGUAGCGGUGAAAUGCGUAGAGAUCGGGAGGAAUACCAGUGGCGAAGGCGGCCUUCUGGACUGACACUGACGCUGAGGUGCGAAAGCGUGGGUAGCAAACAGGAUUAGAUACCCCGGUAGUC
rnacentral:rRNA from 1 species